CAGCUGCUGCUAAAAACAUUGCUAUGCCUAAUGUGGAUGAUGAUGAUGACUUUGAGCCACCCAAAAAGAAGUGCAAUAUCUCAAUGGAUGCCCCAAAUAAGACGCAGUGACUUAUGUGAGGCUGCCCAGAGAUGGCACAACAGGAGCAUUAACAAUGUGUCGGCGACGAUAUAUGGCUGUUCCAUCAUUGUUUUUCUGUAUUAUUUGGAUCAUUUGCAUCAUGCUGCUGCUCCAAACAACAAAAAUGGCACUCCACGCAUAAAGUAUUUUAAUAAGAAUAUUAUAAGGGCGUUGUCAAUGGCCGAUAAGUGGAAGCCUCGCCAGGGUGGUGAACCAUUUGG